GGGCAUGUGCCUGAAUUCAAGGACUACUUUGAUAGAGUAAUAAAUAGAGGUUAAAGCCCUCUCAUACCCU
rnacentral:tRNA from 1 species